GGCCAGUUAGCUCAGUCAGAGCAUGGGGCUGAUAACACCAAGGUCAUGGGUUCAAUCCCCGUUCGGUCCC
rnacentral:tRNA from 1 species